AGAGUUUGAUCCUGGCUCAGAGUGAACGCUGGCGGCGUGCUUAACACAUGCAAGUCGAGCGAAUUCUAUGGUGCUUGCACUAUAGAGUUAGCGGCAGACGGGUGAGUAAUACAUGGGAAUCUACCUUAUAGUGUGGGAUAACAAAUGGAAACAAUUGCUAAUACCACAUAACAGCCGAGAGGCAAAAGAUUUAUCGCUAUAAGAUGAGCCCUUGCGGGAUUAGUUAGUUGGUGGGGUAAUGGCCUACCAAGACUUCGAUCUCUAGUUGGUCUGAGAGGAUGAUCAGCCACACUGGAACUGAGACACGGUCCAGACUCCUACGGGAGGCAGCAGUGGGGAAUUUUAGACAAUGGGCGAAAGCCUGAUCUAGCAACGCCGCGUGAGUGAUGAAGGCCUUACGGUUGUAAAGCUCUUUUAGUGGAGAACAACGCUCCACAGAAUAAGCCCCGGCUAACUUCGUGCCAGCAGCCGCGGUAAUACGAAGGGGGCUAGCGUUACUCGGAAUUAUUGGGCGUAAAGCGUGCGCAGGCGGAUAUACAAGUCGGAGGUGAAAUCCUUAAGCUCAACUUAAGAAGUGCUUUCGAAACUGUAUAUCUAGAAUAUUAUAGGGGAUGAUGGAAUUCCUAGUGUAGGGGUGAAAUCCGUAGAUAUUAGGAGGAACACCGAUGGCGAAGGCGAUCAUCUGGGUAAUUAUUGACGCUGUUGCACGAAAGCGUGGGGAGCAAACAGGAUUAGAUACCCUGGUAGUCCACGCAGUAAACGAUGAGUGCUAGGUGCUGGAUUUUUUUCGGUGCCGAAGCUAACGCGUUAAGCACUCCGCCUGGGGAGUACGGUCGCAAGACUAAAACUUAAAGGAAUUGACGGGGACCCGCACAAGCGGUGGAACAUGUGGUUUAAUUCGAUGCUACGCGAAAAACCUUACCAAGUCUUGACAUGCUAAUCAUACGCCUAAGAAACUAGGCGGUCAUUUAGUUGGAUUAGCACAGGUGCUGCAUGGUUGUCGUCAGCUCGUGUCGUGAGAUGUUGGGUUAAGUCCCGCAACGAGCGCAACCCUUGCCCUUAGUUACCAGCAUUGAGAUGGGGACUUUAAGGGGACUGCUAGCGAUAAGCUAGAGGAAGGUGGGGAUGAUGUCAAAUCAGCAUGGCCCUUAUGGCUUGGGCUACACACGUGUUACAAUGGUGAUCACAAUGGGACAAUCCCUAAAAAUCACCUCAGUUCGGAUUGUCUCCUGCAACUCGGAGACAUGAAGUCGGAAUCGCUAGUAAUCGCAGAUCAGCACGCUGCGGUGAAUACGUUCCCGGGUCUUGUACACACUGCCCGUCACGCCAUGGAAGUCGAUCUUGCUUUAAGUACGUAAGCUAACCGUAAGGAGGCAGCGUACCACAGCGAGGUUGGUAACUGAGGUAAAGUCGUAACAAGGUAACC
rnacentral:rRNA from 1 species